rnacentral:rRNA from 1 species
AACUGAAGAGUUUGAUCCUGGCUCAGAUUGAACGCUGGCGGCAUGCCUUACACAUGCAAGUCGAACGGCAGCGCGGGGCAACCUGGCGGCGAGUGGCGAACGGGUGAGUAAUAUAUCGGAACGUACCCUGGAGUGGGGGAUAACGUAGCGAAAGUUACGCUAAUACCGCAUACGAUCUAAGGAUGAAAGUGGGGGAUUCGCAAGAACCUCAUGCUCCUGGAGCGGCCGAUAUCUGAUUAGCUAGUUGGUGGGGUAAAGGCCCACCAAGGCUUCGAUCAGUAGCUGGUCUGAGAGGACGACCAGCCACACUGGAACUGAGACACGGUCCAGACUCCUACGGGAGGCAGCAGUGGGGAAUUUUGGACAAUGGGCGCAAGCCUGAUCCAGCAAUUGGGCGUAAAGCGUGCGCAGGCGGUUUUGUAAGUCUGUCGUGAAAGCCCCGGGCUCAACCUGGGAAUUGCGAUGGAGACUGCAAGGCUUGAAUCUGGCAGAGGGGGGUAGAAUUCCACGUGUAGCAGUGAAAUGCGUAGAGAUGUGGAGGAACACCGAUGGCGAAGGCAGCCCCCUGGGUCAAGAUUGACGCUCAUGCACGAAAGCGUGGGGAGCAAACAGGAUUAGAUACCCUGGUAGUCCACGCCCUAAACGAUGUCUACUAGUUGUCGGGUUUUAAUUAACUUGGUAACGCAGCUAACGCGUGAAGUAGACCGCCUGGGGAGUACGGUCGCAAGAUUAAAACUCAAAGGAAUUGACGGGGACCCGCACAAGCGGUGGAUGAUGUGGAUUAAUUCGAUGCAACGCGAAAAACCUUACCUACCCUUGAC